GACGAACGCUGGCGGCGUGCUUAACACAUGCAAGUCGAACGGAAAGGCUCUGCGGUUGUGGGGUGCGCGAGUGGCGAAAGGGUGAGGAACACGAGAGGAACCCGCCCCUGAGUUAGGGAUAACUUCUGGAAACUGGGGCUAAUACCGCAUAGGAUCUCCUGCUGCAGGGUGGGGGAUGGAAAGUUUGCGCGGGUGGGGAUGGACUCGCGGCUUAUCAGCUGGUUGGUGGGGGAGUGGCUUACCAAGGCUGUGACGGGUAGCCGGCCUGGGAGGGUGACCGGCCACAUUGGGACUGAGAUACGGCCCAGACUCCUACGGGAGGCAGCAGUGGGGAAUAUUGCACAAUGGGCGGAAGCCUGAUGCAGCAACGCCGCGUGCGGGAUGACGGCCUUCGGGUUGUAAACCGCUUUCGCCUGUGACGAAGCGUGAGUGACGGUAAUGGGUAAAGAAGCACCGGCUAACUACGUG
rnacentral:rRNA from 1 species